rnacentral:rRNA from 1 species
UUUGACCCGGCAAUUUCUGAAUGGGAAAACCCACCUGUCAUAAGGCAGGUAUCCAUAGCUGAAUUCAUAGGCUAUGGAGGCGAACCCGGGGAACUGAAACAUCUAAGUACCCGGAGGAAAAGAAAUCAACCGAGAUUCCGUUAGUAGUGGCGAGCGAACGCGGAUUAGCCCUUAAGUCUUCUAGAAUCUAGCAGAACGCUCUGGAAAGUGCGGCCGUAGUGGGUGAUAGCCCUGUAUGCGAAAGGUUCUUGAAGAUGAAAUCGAGUAGGACGGGACACGUGUAAUCCUGUCUGAAUAUGGGGGGACCAUCCUCCAAGGCUAAAUACUCCUGACUGACCGAUAGUGAACCAGUACCGUGAGGGAAAGGCGAAAAGAACCCCGGAGAGGGGAGUGAAAUAGAACCUGAAACCGUAUGCGUACAAGCAGUGGGAGCCUACUUUGUUAGGUGACUGCGUACCUUUUGUAUAAUGGGUCAGCGACUUAUAUUCAGUGGCAAGCUUAACCGUUUAGGGGAGGCGUAGCGAAAGCGAGUCUUAAUAGGGCGUUUAGUCGCUGGGUAUAGACCCGAAACCGGACGAUCUAUCCAUGGGCAGGUUGAAGGUUAGGUAACACUGACUGGAGGACCGAACCCACUAAUGUUGAAAAAUUAGGGGAUGACCUGUGGAUCGGAGUGAAAGGCUAAUCAAGUCCGGAGAUAGCUGGUUCUCCUCGAAAGCUAUUUAGGUAGCGCCUCAUGUAUCACUGCUGGGGGUAGAGCACUGUUUCGGCUAGGGGGUCAUCCCGACUUACCAACCCGAUGCAAACUCCGAAUACCAGCAAGUGCAAGCAUGGGAGACACACGGCGGGUGCUAACGUCCGUCGUGGAAAGGGAAACAACCCAGACCGUCAGCUAAGGUCCCAAAGUUAUGGUUAAGUGGGAAACGAUGUGGGAAGGCUUAGACAGCUAGGAGGUUGGCUUAGAAGCAGCCACCCUUUAAAGAAAGCGUAAUAGCUCACUAGUCGAGUCGGCCUGCGCGGAAGAUGUAACGGGGCUCAAACCAUACACCGAAGCUACGGGUGCAGACAUUCCACUUAAAGUCAUUGCACAGUGUUUUAACGCUUGCGAGCCAAAGGCGAGCAAAGCUGUUUUCACGUUGAGAGUGAUUUUAAGGGAAUGUCUGUGCGGUAGAGGAGCGUUCUGUAAGCCUGUGAAGGUGAGUUGAGAAGCUUGCUGGAGGUAUCAGAAGUGCGAAUGCUGACAUGAGUAACGAUAAUGCGGGUGAAAAACCCGCACGCCGAAAGACCAAGGUUUCCUGCGCCACGUUAAUCGACGCAGGGUGAGUCGGCCCCUAAGACGAGGCUGAAGAGCGUAGUCGAUGGGAAACGGGUUAAUAUUCCCGUACUUCUAGUUAUUGCGAUGGAGAGACGGAGAAGGCUAGGCCAUCAGGGCGUUGGUUGUCCCUGUUUAAGGUGGUAGGCAGAGUACUUAGGCAAAUCCGGGUACUUAUAUGCCGAGAGCUGAUGACGAGCGUUCAUUCGAAUGCGAAGUGGUUGAUGCCAUGCUUCCAGGAAAAUCUUCUAAGCUUCAGAUAACUAGAAACCGUACUGUAAACCGACACAGGUGGUCGGGUAGAGAAUACCAAGGCGCUUGAGAGAACUCGGGUGAAGGAACUAGGCAAAAUGGCACCGUAACUUCGGGAGAAGGUGCGCCGGUGAGGGUGAAGUAUUUACUACGUAAGCCUUUACUGGUCGAAGAUACCAGGCCGCUGCAACUGUUUAUUAAAAACACAGGACUCUGCAAACUCGAAAGAGGACGUAUAGGGUCUGACGCCUGCCCGGUGCCGGAAGGUUAAUUGAUGGGGUUAGCGCAAGCGAAGCUCUUGAUCGAAGCCCCGGUAAACGGCGGCCGUAACUAUAACGGUCCUAAGGUAGCGAAAUUCCUUGUCGGGUAAGUUCCGACCUGCACGAAUGGCGUAAUGAUGGCGGCGCUGUCUCCACCCGAGACUCAGUGAAAUUGAAAUCGCUGUGAAGAUGCAGUGUAUCCGCGGCAAGACGGAAAGACCCCGUGAACCUUUACUAUAGCUUUGCACUGGACUUUGAAGUUGUUUGUGUAGGAUAGGUGGGAGGCUUUGAAACUGCGACGCCAGUUGCAGUGGAGCCAUCCUUGAAAUACCACCCUGGCAACUUUGAGGUUCUAACCCAGGUCCGUGAUCCGGAUCGGAGACAGUGUAUGGUGGGUAGUUUGACUGGGGCGGUCUCCUCCUAAAGAGUAACGGAGGAGUACGAAGGUGCGCUCAGACCGGUCGGAAAUCGGUCAUAGAGUAUAAAGGCAAAAGCGCGCUUAACUGCGAGACCAACAAGUCGAGCAGGUACGAAAGUAGGUCUUAGUGAUCCGGUGGUUCUGUAUGGAAGGGCCAUCGCUCAACGGAUAAAAGGUACUCCGGGGAUAACAGGCUGAUACCGCCCAAGAGUUCAUAUCGACGGCGGUGUUUGGCACCUCGAUGUCGGCUCAUCACAUCCUGGGGCUGAAGCCGGUCCCAAGGGUAUGGCUGUUCGCCAUUUAAAGUGGUACGCGAGCUGGGUUUAGAACGUCGUGAGACAGUUCGGUCCCUAUCUGUCGUGGACGUUUGAGAUUUGAGAGGGGCUGCUCCUAGUACGAGAGGACCGGAGUGGACGAACCUCUGGUGUUCCGGUUGUCACGCCCGUGGCACUGCCGGGUAGCUAAGUUCGGAAAUGAUAAGCGCUGAAAGCAUCUAAGCGCGAAGCAUGCCUCAAGAUGAGAUCUCACUGGAGCUAUAAGCUCCCUGAAGGGCCCUUGAAGACUACAAGGUUGAUAGGCUGGGUGUGUAAGCGUUGUGAGGCGUUGAGCUAACCAGUACUAAUUGCCCGUGAGGCUUGACCAUAUAACACCCAAACAAUU